GACGAACGCUGGCGGCGUGCCUAAUACAUGCAAGUUGAGCGCUGAAGGUUGGUACUUGUACCCACUGGAUGAGCAGCGAACGGGUGAGUAACGCGUGGGGAAUCUGCCUUUGAGCGGGGGACAACAUUUGGAAACGAAUGCUAAUACCGCAUAAAAACUUUAAACACAAGUUUUAAGUUUGAAAGAUGCAAUUGCAUCACUCAAAGAUGAUCCCGCGUUGUAUUAGCUAGUUGGUGAGGUAAAGGCUCACCAAGGCGAUGAUACGUAGCCGACCUGAGAGGGUGAUCGGCCACAUUGGGACUGAGACACGGCCCAAACUCCUACGGGAGGCAGCAGUAGGGAAUCUUCGGCAAUAGACGAAAGUCUGACCGAGCAACGCCGCGUGAGUGAAGAAGGUUUUCGGAUCGUAAAACUCUGUUGGUAGAGAAGAACGUUGGUGAGAGUGGAAAGCUCAUCAAGUGACGGUAACUACCCAGAAAGGGACGGCUAACUACGUG
rnacentral:rRNA from 1 species